UCAAAACGACGUCGUUUGAUUAUGCCUAAAAAAAAAUAAAAAAAAACUGGGUCAUCUUCCUCGCGAGGUCGUCUUCCUCGCAGAGAAGUUUCAGAUUUUUCAGAUUCUCAACGCCUCGCAGAGAAGUUUCAGUUUAGAUUUUUCAGAUUCUCAACGCCUCUCACGCCUUCCAACGCCUCUCACGCCUUCCCAGCGCUAAACGUGCAACUCGCGAAACAGCCGAUCGCCUCGGGCGUUUUCCUCCCGCCUCGCUCCGACGCGCGCUCCGACGAGCGCGAAGGCAUGCCUUUGAAAACACUG
rnacentral:lncRNA from 1 species